rnacentral:tRNA from 1 species
GUGCUCUUGGCCGAGCGGCAAAGGUUCCAGGCCUCCAACCUGGCGAGGCGGGUUCGAUUCCCGCAGAGCACUCC